CAGUAGCCGCGGGAAUACGUAGGUGGCAAGCGUUGUCCGGAAUUAUUGGGCGUAAAGGGCUCGCAGGCGGUUUCUUAAGUCUGAUGUGAAAGCCCCCGGCUCAACCGGGGAGGGUCAUUGGAAACUGGGAAACUUGAGUGCAGAAGAGGAGAGUGGAAUUCCACGUGUAGCGGUGAAAUGCGUAGGGAUGUGGAGGAACACCAGUGGCGAAGGCGACUCUCUGGUCUGUAACUGACGCUGAGGAGCGAAAGCGUGGGGAGCGAACAGGAUUAGAUACCCCAGUAGUCCCUGUCUCUUAUAC
rnacentral:rRNA from 1 species